AAUACGUGUAUAUUGACUGAAAAGUUUAAGUUUAAAACGCAUUAGUUCACGUUCAAAAGAAAACUAAAUGUACACAUGUACUAGAUCUUUAUGUUUCAGUGUGCGUGUUUCGUAUCGUUCAGCCAAUUUUGCAUUGCUUUUGAACUUUGAUGCUUUUGACAAUCACUCGUAAGUUCAAAGUAAAAUCAAAGUUGUCAUAAUAAUGGAUAGUUGUUUUUAGUAUCUAUGUACCAGUGUGUAUAGGUGUACAUGUACCACUUUCACAUUGAAAUUUUAGGGUGCUUUCAGCAUAUGCAACAAUACUUUCAUCUGUGAAUACCCACUUUCUAAGCCCACCAUGAACUACGAGCGGAAGGUCAAUUAAUAUGUAAGGACACCAAUGAACAGACACUUUCCAAUUAUCCUACAUCAUAUACAUGGGUGGUCAAACUCCCUGGAUGGUUUAUCAACACUCCCAUGAUGACGAACAGCCUUGCGCCAGGAAUUUUGCCCUGAAGUAACAUUGCAGUCUAUUGUCUCCUUUCUUUUUACAACCCUGGCAGCCAUGCAGGAUAGAAGCUGAUCACUUGUACUUGACAGCAAAUAAUAAUGUCUUGGACAAGUCAAAGAAUUUCCUCCGGUCUUACAGAGAAAUGACAGUUGAUAAAAGAAUGGUGGACACAAAGUAAAAGUGCUCUUCAACAUUUUGUUGAAGAUUUCAGUCUGAUUUGGAAUUCAUCUUGCAAUAUUUCUGUAUUUGUAUAUUUGGAUAUAAGCGUCAAAUUUUCAACUUAUUGACUAAACAGUUUUGCAUUAAGUAUUGCCAAUGCUAUCUAUUAUUAUUUCCCUCCAAGAUAACAUGUCAAAUCUUUAUUGUACCCCUUAAGCUCUGUUAUACCAGAAAAACUUGCAAUGAAAUCAUUUAGUUUUUUUUUCUUGUUAAAUUAAAUCCAUGAAAAUAAAG